UCUGGGCGGGAUGACUAUGGAUACCGGAGGUCCCCAAGGCGGUCACCACCACCGUAUAGAGGUGGCCGUGAUUACUCUCCAAGGAGGUCACCGCCACCAUACAGAGGUGGUGGUGGUGGUGGGCGGGAUUACUCUCCUAGGCGGUCACCUUACUAUGGUGGGAGAUCAAGGAGGGAGCGAACACGGUCUCCUCCUUAUUCCCCACCUUACAGGAGUCCCGAAAGGCACUAUGCUCGUCGCUAGAAUGCUUAGUUAACUUUUCAAUCCAAAUAUAUGUUGUGCUUUUUUCUUUUUUCUUUCUUUCUUUUUUUUUUUUUUUUCUAUUGUUGGUUUAAAACGGUGAAAUUGGGUC
rnacentral:lncRNA from 1 species